UAACCUAUAAUAACUUUCUAAAAUUUAAAAUUUAUAGUAGGGUUUACAUCUAUUUGUUAUUUUUUGGUUUGCUAGAGUCGAUCAUAUCUUUUACUAGAGGAUUAGAGAGUUCUAUCUACUUUGCAAACUUAUGAGUUGAGAAGAAUAUUUGAUAAUUUUUUAUUUUAAGUACUUCUUUACCAAUCUGUUGGAGGAGAUUUUUUUUUUCUCUUUUUGCUAAAAAAUCAAGGUAGAAAGUUGUUUUUACUAAACUUCUGGAGAUACUCUUAGACAAAUAAUUAUAAUGGUAUGCUUCAAAACAGGUAAAUAGAUAUAUUUUUUUCAAAUUUUAAAAAUUAUAAUGGUAAAACCCAAAACAAUGACCUUUCAAAAAAAAGGUAUCAUAAUAAGAAAACGACCUCGCGUCUUGUUUAGCACUUUUGUUUUUAUUUGAUAAAUAUUGUCCAAUCAUAAACUAAUUAGAUUUAAAAGAUUCGUCUCAUAAAUUAUAGAUAAACUAUGUAAUAAAUUAUCUUUUUUUAUCUAUAUUUAAUGUUGUAUAUAUAUGCUAUAAAAUUUAAUGUGAUGAGAUUGUUGAAAUUUUUUGGAAACAACGCCUCGGUCGGUACUCGUACCCGAUACGGCAUUUUCCUGUACCACUCUCAUCAGGCUGAGGCUGUC
rnacentral:lncRNA from 1 species